UAUUUGACUUUCCCGAGCAGCUUCGGGCGCUGAAGGGGGGGGGUCCUCUGCCCGCGGGGCCGGCAGCAAGGCCGCGUUCGCACCCCGCGCCGGGGAGCAGAGGCCGGACUCGAGCACCGGCUCGGGGCCCCGCGGCCUCCCCGCAGCCCCUCACCUGGGGCUUUGGGCUGAGUUUCCUCCCAGCCUCUCAUUUUUCAUCUCUCGAGCUGAACCUAUUAAUACUUUUGUUGGCAAACGCCGAGAAAAAAAAAAAAGAAAAAAGGAAAAAAAAAUUAAUCCUCUCCUGCAAAAACAGCUGAUUCAGAUCCGUAGGAUCUUGAUGUGGCAGAAAGAAAUUAGUUACUGCAUGUGGGCUGAGCGACGCCGCUGGUCCGGGCGCGGGCGGGGGGAGGCUGCCUUCGCUUCUCCUUCUUCUUUUAUUAUUAUUUUUUUUAAUGAUUGAAAUCUCAGCGCUCGCUUUAUUUGCAGCGUUUUGUUUUCUUUAGAAGCGAGACGGUGCUGGGGAACGGUGCCAGGGCAAAACCGCGCCUCGGCUUUUCUCGCGCCCCGCCGAGCCGGUCGCGCGGGCUCCUCGCCGGGGCGCCCGGGGGUGGGAUGCUCCCGCCUCUCUGCCCCCCGCCGAAAGCCCUCGCGGGCCCCAGCCGCUGCCCGCGUCCCGGCCGCUUCCCAGCACCGAGCUCCGCUCCCGUCCCGUUCCCGCGGGGCCGGGGCAGCGCCGGGAGCAUCCGCCGCCGGUGCCCCCAGGCCUGCGCUUGGGAGAGGCUCGAGCAACCCAUAAAUUACCAUUAUUGCGCUUGCCUUUUUUUUCUUUUUCUUAAUCCAAGAAUAAAAAUUCCUUUGCAAUUGUGAAGCGAGAGUCUCGCCGGGCUGCUGCAAACGCUCUGCAAAGCGCCUGCGGCUGCUGGGAGGGGAGAGGGGCCAUUUCACGGAAAGGCAGAUCCAGCGGGAAGCCCUUGGCCAGCCCGUCACCCUCGUCCCGGGGUUUUCCACUGAUUUUCGAGCCCGGUUCCUGCCGGGGCCGCGUCGGUGGCCGGGGAGGAGGAGGAGAAGUCGCUCCUUGCAGACCGCCUCGGGCCUUUCCAACGCGCGGGGUGACAUUGGGGACUAAACGGUUAAAGUUUGUUCAAGCCACCUGUAUAUUUUCCCAAGGCUGCAGAUAGCGAUCGAGAACGCCGGGAACUGUGUGUUUAAGGGGUCUGAAUUUGCCGAAACCGUGCCACGAGUCAGACUUCAAAAGCAGAGUUUAUUUGUAAAGUUGCAGCAGGCCGAAGUGUCGCCUGCUAAAGGGCAAGUGCUGUAGCUCAUCGAGGCACGGAUCGACACCGCGUAUAGAAGAGCCUUUGACGUUUUCCCUGGAUAAUUUCGGUUUGUUCGGAGCGGAGCAAAGGAUGUGGCGGAAGAGCCCGGUGGCAUCGGCCGCCUCCGCGGGGUCUGGGGGUCUCCUGCCUCGCUGGGCGCUGCGUCGGGGCGGCCGCCGCCGAGGCCGGUGGCUGGGCUCCUAGCACGAGGGUGAAAUCAUUAAAAUUCAUUAUACAUAUAAAAAA